UUAUAUAUAUUUAUAUUGAAAAAUAUCCAAUGCUUUUGUCAUGAAAACAAAGCGUUGAAUGGGAUACACACGUAUCACAACCACGCGCAUUAUACGUAUAAGAUAUAUACAUCAUAUAUGGUGAUUCGUACAUAACAUACCGACUUAUAGAAAUAAGUACGCAAUAUUAAGUUGUUAAACUCGUUGCUGUGAUUUAUUGUUUCAUCGUCUAAUCAUCUUUACUUCUAUCUUUUUUCAUUUGGAUAAAAAUGUCUGAGCAGUUCCUGGGUUGUACUGUUUCUGUGAAAUGUAUUGACGAUAUUACUUAUCAAGGCAAAAUUAUUGAUCUAAAUAAGAAUAGCCUGACAUUGGCAAAAACAUUUUGCAAUGGCAUACCGCAUACUUCAUCCAUUGUUAACCUAAGUGUAAAAGAUAUACAAAAGCUUGAGAUUAUAUCGA